CGACUGCCAGGGGGGAAGGAUUGUUGGUUGGAGACUUCUUUCUUGUGAGGUUUUCUCUGUGAGCCUAUACUUUCGGAGACAGGGCUGAUGGCCACUGGAGAAGAGUUCUUCCUGCAGAUCCCUCUUUGGUGGAGCUUUCCCUCGCAAACCUAGAAUCUUCUGAUACAGUGGCCUCUCAAGAUGAAAACUGAAAAAGACCUGGAGCCACAAACAUAGAGAUGAAGAAAGCAUUGUUGUUUCCUUCAAAGUCAGUCUAACAGAAGUCCCAAGUUUCCAACUGCCUAGCUAGCAUUUUAGAGAUUAAUAUAUCCUGCAAGAACAUAAACAACACCAUAACUGUAUUUAAUCUCCUGUUGAACUACUUUCUGAAUGACUUGUCUUAGGCUUACUUAGCUCUUUCUAACCAGUAGCUUUUUCCAACAACUGUGCACCCAAAAAAAGCCUUUUGAUUGUGAAGUUAAACCAGGGUGGAGGUAUCUCACAGUAGAGUAAGUAGGAAAGUUGACGAAAUCUGAUUCAUAUGGAGUGGAAGAUGCACUGAAAUCUGAGGAGGGGGGAAUUGGUCUCCUGUUGAGCUAGGAAAAGAGGAGAAAUGAAAAGUCUGAAUCCUCAUGAUAAUUUUUUUGUAAACACAGAAGGAAUUAACUCUGAUAACAGAGAAAUAAUAGACUAGAAAAAAGGAUGGAUAGGAGCCAAAGUAAUUUAUCUCCCCUAUAUUUAUGGAGACACACAAAUCGGGCUGGCUUUAUGUGUUUUUUUUUGUUUGUUCUGCAAAACCUGCAAACCAAGAUGUUUAGAUGAGCCAUCUUGUGAGUAACCAGUUCUUAGCAAUGCAUUGUAAAGAAAUUGUCAUGGUUGAUGUGGUUUCCAGCUAUACCCAGAAAUAGACUAUGGAAUCUCUGAAAAUCUGCAAGUCUAAUUCAUCCAAGGCAGAGUUUGGGAUUGCUAACUAUGCUUCCUUUAUUUUACAUUUCAGUUAAAGCAAACACACACACACACUUAGGUUGCUAACUAUGUCCUAACUACGUAAGCUGUUACAUUGUUCAUCUUUUCCAUUGAAUUAGCACUAGGAAAUAUGACCAUAAGAAACUAUGUUGUAAUUCCAGGCAUGGAAUCAAGUCCAAUACCUGCUCUUUAAUCCUAACAAACCAGAUAGCUAGGAUGCCAUGUUUAUGUAAAAUAUACACAACCAGUAACUCAUACAAACACGAAAGCACAAUCCACAUUUCUCCAUCAUGUGUUCAUUAAACUGGGUUUCUGUAUGCACAAAUGAUGAGUUGAUUGAAUUAAUAUGUGCAUAAUGCCCAUUUGCAACUAAUGCAAAUUUUAUGGGAAAUGAGUAUCUUGCUUAUUUUGAUCUUCUGGCAGCUUACUAUUACUCUGGUUUUUAGAACAGUCUUCAGAGUGCAAUUUAUAACAUAACCUCUGUGAGUUCUGAACAAUUAGGAAUAGUUGAACUCAGUGAUAAGAGCUUGGAUUAAAAUUAGAACUACCAUAAAAUCAUAAAUACACAUUUUUGUUUGUUCUCAUUCUAAA